CAGAUAUUUCCACACAAUACAAUCGUAGAAUUUAGACAUAGUUGAUGCAGUCAUUUACAUUUCAACUAAGCAGAUCAUGGUAUAAAAAAAGUUCGGUACUUGAAAUUCUAGCAAACCGCUGCUGCAAAUACACUAUCACAUGGUCUACAAUAUAUCUACACGGAUUAAAAAAUUUUCAACUACACAAAUGAAAAAUCAGUAUGUACGACAAUCGUCAAAACCAGUAUUUAGCUACACAAAAGACAAUG